rnacentral:rRNA from 1 species
AGAGUUUGAUCCUGGCUCAGGAUGAACGCUGGCGGCGUGCCUAAUACAUGCAAGUCGAGCGAACUGAUUAGAAGCUUGCUUCUAUGACGUUAGCGGCGGACGGGUGAGUAACACGUGGGCAACCUGCCUGUAAGACUGGGAUAACUUCGGGAAACCGAAGCUAAUACCGGAUAGGAUCUUCUCCUUCAUGGGAGAUGAUUGAACGAUGGUUUCGGCUAUCACUUACAGAUGGGCCCGCGGUGCAUUAGCUAGUUGGUGAGGUAACGGCUCACCAAGGCAACGAUGCAUAGCCGACCUGAGAGGGUGAUCGGCCACACUGGGACUGAGACACGGCCCAGACUCCUACGGGAGGCAGCAGUAGGGAAUCUUCCGCAAUGGACGAAAGUCUGACGGAGCAACGCCGCGUGAGUGAUGAAGGCUUUCGGGUCGUAAAACUCUGUUGUUAGGGAAGAACAAGUACGAGAGUAACUGCUCGCACCUUGACGGUACCUAACCAGAAAGCCACGGCUAACUACGUGCCAGCAGCCGCGGUAAUACGUAGGUGGCAAGCGUUAUCCGGAAUUAUUGGGCGUAAAGCGCGCGCAGGCGGUUUCUUAAGUCUGAUGUGAAAGCCCACGGCUCAACCGUGGAGGGUCAUUG